GUCAUUGCUCAAUUCUUUCUAUUUAAUGAUUCCAUUAUUUACUUGUUAGCUUUCGAGGUCAUAGUUGUUGUUCACCAAAAACCAACAGGUUGCAUACUAAUGGGACUGGAAAAUCUUAUUGGGAGCCUGAAGAAGAAAGUGCUCAAGGGUCUCAAGAAGAAGACAGGGGUCUCGGAUUAUGACAAGAUCGAAAAGAGUGACAGCAUGCGCGUCGAAAUUCAGAGCAGAAAAGCUCGAAAACUCAUUCAGAACACUCUCAAAGUUGCUGAUUCUCCCCCGUGCAGUACCUGAAAUCAGUCUCUGUAUGUGUUCUUCACUGGUCUGAGACAGAGGUGGAGUUUUUCGAUUUUUCGGAAGAUUGUAGAUAGAUUUCGAUAUUCCUGCAAUUGAGUGCUUGAUGAUCAUAUGUUCUGGUAUGUCAUAAAUAGAUGAAUGUCAGAUAGAUUAGUAGCAAUAAUUCACAGAAGUUGUACCACAUGUUACCUCCUUUUUUUUUCUUAAUUAAUUACAAAUUCUGAGAUAGAUGAUAAUUUAUAGUCGGGUGGCUCUGUUUGGGAUUAGCGAAUUGAAUUAGAUGUUGAGAUAAAUGAGACAUGUAUCAUAUUUUCGAGUCGGAUAUGAGCACAUGUUGAAUACAAUUGAAUUAAUAUUUUAAAUAAAAAUUUUGGCUAUAAUAUUUUUAUUAUAUAUUUUUAAAGUUACAAGAAGAAAGAGCUGCUUUGUUGAACAAUACCAAAAGCACAGUAAGUAUGCACAAGAAAUACUCCCUUUGUCUCAUUUUAAUUGCUUUUAAUUUUAUUACACGUAUUUUAAAGUGUUAAAAAAAUCAGAUUUAAACUUAAUUAUUCUUAACAAAAUUUAUAUCAAAUAACAAUUUAUAAUCUAUAUUUUUAUUUGAUAUAAGAAUUGUAUUUUUUUAUUAAGUGCAGAUAAUAUUUUUUUUUACAUCUCCAUAUACGUGUCAAAAAUUCAAACAUCUAUUAAAAUAAGAAAGAAAGGAGCCAUAAAAUUACACAAAUUCAGGACAAAUCCUUUUCAAACCCUAAUAAAAAGACGCAUUCCUUUAAUAUCUAUAUAUACGCUGGAAUUUGUGUUUGUGAAUCUUGUUCGAUCAUUCUUAUUUUGUGUUGUUUUGUAUGUGUAAUAUUUUAUUAAUUUUUUCUUUUUCAAAGUUUUUCAAUUUACGUAACUGUUUUUUUGUUUAAUUUUAGGUUCUUAGAAGUUAGAACGCAUCCCCAAGCCCGAGUCGUUAAUGUUUCAUCAACAAGUCUUUUUCAGAGAUUGCGCGCAGCCUCGUAGAUUGUUUUUAGUUCCACAUUACUGAUUGCAGAAGUUAUAAUCCCACGCAGAAAUAAUAUUGCACACGAAGACGAGUAAUUUUCUUCUUCUAUCUAAGUUUAUCCACUUCAAUAUGUUUGUAAAUAUGUGUUUGCAUGUUUUUUUUUUUGAGUAAAAGAAGUUCUUCAUUAAUUCAUCAAUAAAUCUGACAUUAGUGUCUCCAACAAAGAUGAUGGAGGAGACGUGAAAUCCAAGAAGCUAUUAAGCGUACAAGGAAUUUUGG
rnacentral:lncRNA from 1 species